rnacentral:rRNA from 1 species
GGGGACCUCGAGUGCGUGCGCAUUGCGUACGCUUUUCAUGUGCCUAAAAAGCACGUGGAAUAAGGGCCGGGCAAGACCGGUGCCAGCCGCCGCGGUAACACCGGCGGCUCAAGUGGUGGCCGCUUUUAUUGGGCUUAAAGGGUCCGUAGCCGGGCCAGUUAGUCCUCUGGGAAAUCUUACGGCUUAACCGUAAGGCUGCCAAAGGAUACUGCUGGCCUUGGGACCGGGAGAGGCAAGAGGUACCUCAGGGGUAGGAG